AGAAAAGAAAAAUACACACAAUAAACAAAAACAAUAAAAAAGCCAUGCUCGCAAGACUAGACAUUGCCUCUGAGCUUUUAUUUUUUUUCUCCCUCUUUGCUUUUCAACUUACCUCGGCAUUAGUGCUUUGUUGCUAUGUUAAAUGAAAAGAAUUGACAAGAG
rnacentral:ribozyme from 1 species